UGGGGAAUAUUGCACAAUGGGCGCAAGCCUGAUGCAGCGACGCCGCGUGAGGGAUGACGGCCUUCGGGUUGUAAACCUCUGUUAGCAGGGAAGAAGAGAGAUUGACGGUACCUGCAGAGAAAGCGCCGGCUAACUACGUGCCAGCAGCCGCGGUAAUACGUAGGGCGCGAGCGUUGUCCGGAAUUAUUGGGCGUAAAGAGCUUGUAGGCGGUUUGUCGCGUCUGCUGUGAGAGGCCGGAGCUUAACUCCGUGUAUUGCAGUGGGUACGGGCAGACUAGAGUGCAGUAGGGGAGACUGGAAUUCCUGGUGUAGCGGUGGAAUGCGCAGAUAUCAGGAGGAACACCGAUGGCGAAGGCAGGUCUCUGGGCUGUAACUGACGCUGAGAAGCGAAAGCAUGGGGAGCGAACAGGAUUAGAUACCCUGGUAGUCCAUGCCGUAAACGUUGGGCACUAGGUGUGGGGGACAUUCCACGUUUUCCGCGCCGUAGCUAACGCAUUAAGUGCCCCGCCUGGGGAGUACGGCCGCAAGGCUA
rnacentral:rRNA from 1 species